UACUAAAAUGCAACUGGACAAUCAGAAAGAGAUUGCCGAGAUGCAAAAUGAGACUCAAAAAGAGAUUGCUGGCAUUCAGUCGGCGACUUCACGCCAGAAUACGAAAGACCAGGUAUAUGCACAAAAUGAGAUGCUUGCUUAUCAACAGAAGGAGUCUACUGCUCGCGUUGCGUCUAUUAUGGAAAACACCAAUCUUUCCAAGCAACAGCAGGUUUCCGAGAUUAUGCGCCAAAUGCUUACUCAAGCUCAAACGGCUGGUCAGUAUUUUACCAAUGACCAAAUCAAAGAAAUGACUCGCAAGGUUAGUGCUGAGGUUGACUUAGUUCAUCAGCAAACGCAGAAUCAGCGGUAUGGCUCUUCUCAUAUUGGCGCUACUGCAAAGGAUAUU
rnacentral:rRNA from 1 species